rnacentral:rRNA from 1 species
UACAGAGGGGGCAAGCGUUGUUCGGAAUUACUGGGCGUAAAGGGCGCGUAGGCGGCCACCUAAGUCAGACGUGAAAUCCCUCGGCUCAACCGGGGAACUGCGUCUGAUACUGGGUGGCUUGAAUUCGGGAGAGGAAUGCGGAAUUCCAGGUGUAGCGGUGAAAUGCGUAGAUAUCUGGAGGAACACCGGUGGCGAAGGCGGCAUUCUGGACCGACAUUGACGCUGAGGCGCGAAAGCCAGGGGAGCAAACAGG